AACGAACGCUGGCGGCAUGCCUAACACAUGCAAGUCGAACGUGAUCCGUGCCUUCGGGUGCGGUGAAAGUGGCGCACGGGUGAGUAACGCGUGGGAACCUGCCCAAUGGUAGGGAAUAACCGCGGGAAACUGCGGCUAAUACCCUAUGAGCCCUACGGGGGAAAGAUUUAUCGCCGUUGGAGGGGCCCGCGUCGGAUUAGGUAGUUGGUGGGGUAAUGGCUCACCAAGCCUUCGAUCCGUAGCUGGUCUGAGAGGAUGAUCAGCCACACUGGGACUAAGACACGGCCCAGACUCCUACGGGAGGCAGCAGUCGAGGAUCUUCCGCAAUGGGCGCAAGCCUGACGGAGCGACACCGCGUGCAGGAUGAAGGCCUUCGGGUUGUAAACUGCUGUCACGCUAUAGGAACCCCGCAAGGGUUGACUAAAGCGAGAGGAAGCAACGGCUAACUCUGUGCCAGCAGCCGCAGUAACAC
rnacentral:rRNA from 1 species